CCUACGGUAGGCAGCAGUGGGGAAUAUUGCACAAUGGGGGAACCCCUGAUGCAGCGACGCCGCGUGAGUGAAGAAGUACCUCGGUACGUAAAGCCUCAUCAGCCGGGAAGAAAUUGACGCUACCUGUCAAAUAAUCACCGGUUAACUACGUGCCAGCAGCCGCGGAAAUAAGUAGGGGGCAAGCGUUAUCCGGAUUUAAUGGGGGUAUAGGGGGCGUUGACGGCAGCACAAGUCUGGAGUGAAAUCCCGGGGUUUAACCCCGGAACUGCUUUGGAAACUGUGCGGCGUGAGUGCAGGAGAGGUAAGCGGAAUGCCUGGUGUAGCGGUGAAAUGCGUAGAUAUUAGGAAGAACACCGGUGGCGAAGGCAGCUUACUGGACUGUAACUGACGUUGAGGCUCGAAAGCGUGGGGAGCGAACAGGAUUAGAUACCCUAGUAGUC
rnacentral:rRNA from 1 species